rnacentral:rRNA from 1 species
UGAGGAAUAUUGGUCAAUGGUCGCUAGACUGAACCAGCCAAGUAGCGUGCGGGAUGAAGGCCCUCCGGGUCGUAAACCGCUUUUAGACGGGGAUAAAAGGGCGUACGUGUACGCCGUAUUGCAUGUACCGUCAGAAAAAGGACCGGCUAAUUCCGUGCCAGCAGCCGCGGUAAUACGGAAGGUCCGGGCGUUAUCCGGAUUUAUUGGGUUUAAAGGGAGCGUAGGCGGACUUUCAAGUCAGUGGUAAAAUCGUGUGGCUCAACCAUACCUCGCCAUUGAAACUGGAAGUCUGGAGUGCACACAGGGUGCCGGAAUUCAUGGUGUAGCGGUGAAAUGCUUAGAUAUCAUGAAGAACUCCGAUCGCGAAGGCAAGUGCCCGGGGUGCAACUGACGCUGAGGCUCGAAGGUGCGGGUAUCGAACAGAAUUAGAUACC